AGCUCCAAUAGCAUAUAUUAAAGUUGUUGCAGUUAAAAAGCUCGUAGUUGGAUUUCUGGCAAGAUGCGCCUUUCCCGGCUCCAUUAGGGGUUUGUGUGUGAGCGCGCGUCUGCCAUCCAUUUGCAGAAUGCGUCUACCUUUCAUUAGGCCGGGCGUGUGAUGUAAAUCUUUUACUUUGAAAAAAUUAGAGUGUUUAAAGCAGGCAUUUGCUAUGAAUACAUUAGCAUGGAAUAAUAAUCUAGGACUUCGGUUCUAUUUUGUUGGUUUCUAGAUCUGGAGUAAUGAUUGAUAGGGAUAGUUGGGGGUGCUAGUAUUAAGGGGCCAGAGGUGAAAUUCUUGGAUUCUCUUAAGACUAACUUAUGCGAAAGCAUUCACCAAGGAUGUCUUCU
rnacentral:rRNA from 1 species